CAUUUUAGUCCCUUCCUCUUUCUGUUGUGUGUUUCCCGGAGGCAGUGGUGGCGAGAGAGGAAUGCAACGACUCCUCCUCCCUCCGACAAUCCAUGUGGAGAAUUCCGUCGAGUAGGCGAGUACAGUAGAAAGAGGCUGAAACCGAAGCUCAAAAGUUUAACCGAUGGAGCAGUCAGUGCUUGACGGCAUAAUCAACCGUCUCCUCGAAGUUCGUGGGCGCCCCGGCAAGCAGGUUCAGCUCUCGGAGUCCGAGAUCCGCCAACUGUGCCUCGUUUCCAGAGACAUUUUCUUGCAACAACCUAACUUAUUGGACCUCCAAGCUCCCAUUAAGAUUUGCGGCGAUGUACAUGGCCAAUACUCCGAUCUUCUACGCCUUUUCGAGUACGGCGGAUUACCACCGGAAGCUAACUACUUGUUCUUGGGAGAUUACGUGGAUCGAGGCAAGCAGAGUUUAGAAACAAUUUGCCUUCUUCUUGCUUAUAAAAUUAAAUAUCCUGAGAAUUUCUUUCUGUUGAGGGGAAACCAUGAAUGUGCUUCUAUCAAUAGGAUAUAUGGUUUUUAUGACGAGUGUAAGAGAAGGUUCAAUGUCAGUUUAUGGAAGACUUUCACUGAAUGCUUCAAUUGCCUUCCCGUCGCCGCCCUUAUCGACGAGAAGAUUUUGUGUAUGCACGGCGGACUUUCUCCGGACCUGCAUAGUUUGGAUCAGAUCAGGAAUCUGCAGCGCCCUACUGAUGUGCCUGACACCGGUUUGCUUUGUGAUCUUCUUUGGUCCGACCCUAGCAAAGAUGUUCAAGGAUGGGGAAUGAAUGACAGGGGAGUUUCUUAUACCUUUGGUUCUGAUAAAGUCUCCGAGUUCCUCCAGAAACAUGAUCUUGAUCUUGUAUGCCGCGCUCACCAGGUUGUGGAGGACGGAUACGAGUUCUUUGCGAACCGACAGCUUGUGACAAUAUUUUCUGCUCCUAAUUAUUGUGGGGAGUUUGACAAUGCUGGUGCCAUGAUGAGUGUUGAUGAAACACUAAUGUGCUCGUUCCAAAUCUUAAAGCCGGCUGAUAGGAAGACAAAGCUCAAUUUUGGAAGUACGACCACUGCCAAGCCCGGAAACUCUCCGGCUGGAGUAAAGCAUGCCUUUCCUAACAUGUUCUGAAGUUGUUCUCGCCAUGACUUUGGUGAAAAAGAUUGCUGCCACAAGUGGUCUACUUUAUGAUGAACACCUAAUAGUUGCAAGAAAAGGGAAGAGAUGGUUUGGAUCCACACAUGGAUAUUUGGAAUUGUAAAAUCAAAGGGAAACACAUUCUGAAGUAUGUAAACCAUUGUUUUUAUAUUGGUACAAAUUUGCAUUUGAAGAUGGAGAACCAUAAUCUCCUUCCUUAUCUUCGUUGUACACUAAUGUAGAGGAAAACAGCUCUGCUAUUUGCUUUUUCGUGGGGCAAUAGAAGCAUAUUAAAGAGCAAUUGAGGAUCGUGUUGGUCAUCUGUUGUAUUCUGUUUAUGGCUGUUCAUGUCUUAUGGCUUAUGGCCUCGGUUUAGGUUUUUUUUUUUUUUAAUUUCCUUAAUUAG